rnacentral:SRP_RNA from 2 species
GUGUCCUGCGCAACGCGAGGGCUGUGAACCCCGCCAGGUCCGGAAGGAAGCAACGGUAAGCAGUUUUUCGCGUGUGCCGCAGGGGUGCAUAA